rnacentral:rRNA from 1 species
AUUGAACGCUGGCGGCAGGCUUAACACAUGCAAGUCGAGCGGGGUGAUGGUGCUUGCACUAUCACUUAGCGGCGGACGGGUGAGUAAUGCUUAGGAAUCUGCCUAUUAGUGGGGGACAACAUCUCGAAAGGGAUGCUAAUACCGCAUACGUCCUACGGGAGAAAGCAGGGGAUUAUUUGUGACCUUGCGCUAAUAGAUGAGCCUAAGUCGGAUUAGCUAGUUGGUGGGGUAAAGGCCUACCAAGGCGACGAUCUGUAGCGGGUCUGAGAGGAUGAUCCGCCACACUGGGACUGAGACACGGCCCAGACUCCUACGGGAGGCAGCAGUGGGGAAUAUUGGACAAUGGGGGGAACCCUGAUCCAGCCAUGCCGCGUGUGUGAAGAAGGCCUUAUGGUUGUAAAGCACUUUAAGCGAGGAGGAGGCUCUUUUGGUUAAUACCCAAGAUGAGUGGACGUUACUCGCAGAAUAAGCACCGGCUAACUCUGUGCCAGCCGCCGCAGUAA